rnacentral:rRNA from 1 species
UACGGAGGGUGCAAGCGUUGUCCGGAAUCACUGGGCGUAAAGGGCGCGUAGGCGGCUCAUGAAGGCUGUGGUGAAAGUCCGGGGCUCAACCUCGGAUCGGCCGUGGCGACUCGUGGGCUGGAGCACUGUAGAGGCGGGGGGAAUUCCGGGUGUAGCGGUGGAAUGCGUAGAGAUCCGGAAGAACACCAGUGGCGAAGGCGGCCCGCUGGGCAGUGGCUGACGCUGAGGCGCGACAGCGUGGGGAGCGAACAGG